rnacentral:rRNA from 1 species
UGGGGAAUAUUGCACAAUGGGCGAAAGCCUGAUGCAGCAACGCCGCGUGAGUGAUGAAGGUCUUCGGAUUGUAAAGCUCUGUCUUUUGGGACGAUAAUGACGGUACCAAAGGAGGAAGCCACGGCUAACUACGUGCCAGCAGCCGCGGUAAUACGUAGGUGGCGAGCGUUGUCCGGAUUUACUGGGCGUAAAGGGUGCGUAGGCGGAUGUUUAAGUGAGAUGUGAAAUACCCGGGCCUAACUUGGGUGCUGCAUUUCAAACUGGAUAUCUAGAGUGCAGGAGAGGAGAAUGGAAUUCCUAGUGUAGCGGUGAAAUGCGUAGAGAUUAGGAAGAACACCAGUGGCGAAGGCGAUUCUCUGGACUGUAACUGACGCUGAGGCACGAAAGCGUGGGUAGCAAACAGGAUUAGAUACCCUGGUAGUCCACGCCGUAAACGAUGAGUACUAGGUGUAGGAGGUAUCGACCCCUUCUGUGCCGCAGUAAACACAUUAAGUACUCCGCCUGGGAAGUACGAUCGCAAGAUUAAAACUCUAAAGUGAAUUGAC